rnacentral:rRNA from 1 species
AGUGAACGCUGGCGGUAGGCCUAACACAUGCAAGUCGAACGGCAGCACAGUAAGAGCUUGCUCUUACGGGUGGCGAGUGGCGGACGGGUGAGGAAUACAUCGGAAUCUACUUUUUCGUGGGGGAUAACGUAGGGAAACUUACGCUAAUACCGCAUACGACCUACGGGUGAAAGCAGGGGAUCUUCGGACCUUGCGCGAUUGAAUGAGCCGAUGUCGGGUUAGCUAGUUGGUGGGGUAAAGGCCCACCAAGGCGACGAUCCGUAGCUGGUCUGAGAGGAUGAUCAGCCACACUGGAACUGAGACACGGUCCAGACUCCUACGGGAGGCAGCAGUGGGGAAUAUUGGACAAUGGGCGCAAGCCUGAUCCAGCCAUACCGCGUGGGUGAAGAAGGCCUUCGGGUUGUAAAGCCCUUUUGUUGGGAAAGAAAAGCAGCAGGUUAAUACCCCGCUGUUCUGACGGUACCCAAAGAAUAAGCACCGGCUAACUUCGUG